AACGCUGGCGGCGUGCCUAACACAUGCAAGUCGCGCGCGAAAGGGGGGUUACUCCCAAGUAGAGCGGCGAACGGGUGAGUAACGCGUGGGUGAUCUACCUCCGAGUGGGGAAUAACCCCGGGAAACUGGGGCUAAUACCGCAUGACAUCUUCGGGUCACACUGAAGAUCAAAGACGGGGACCGCAAGGCCUGGCGUUUGUAGAUGAGCCCGCGUCCGAUUAGCUAGUUGGCGGGGUAACGGCCCACCAAUGCGACAAUCGGUAGCCGGCCUGAGAGGGCGGACGGCCACACUGGGGCUGUGACACGGCCCAGACUCCUACGGGAGGCAGCAGUGGGGAAUUUUUCGCAAUGGGGGAAACCCUGACGAAGCAACGCCGCGUGGAGGAUGAAGGCCUUCGGUUCGUAAACUCCUGUCGACUGGGACGAAAGUAGUCUGGCCUAAUACGCCAUGCUAUCGACUGUACCGGUGGAGGAAGCCACGGCUAACUCUGUGCCAGCAUCCGCGGUAAUAAGGU
rnacentral:rRNA from 1 species